UACAUGGGGUGCAAACGUUGCUCGGAAUCAUUGGGCGUAAAGCGCGCGUAGGCGGUUACUUAAGUUGGAUGUGAAAGCCCUCGGCUUAACCGAGGAAGUGCAUCCAAAACUGAGUAGCUAGAGUACGAAAGAGGGUCGUGGAAUUCCCGGUGUAGCGGUGAAAUGCGUAGAGAUCGGGAGGAACACCAGCGGCGAAGGCGGCGACCUGGAUGAGUACUGACACUCAACUGCGAAAGCGUGGGGAGCAAACAGG
rnacentral:rRNA from 1 species